GCUUACGGCCAUAUCACCCUGAUCACACUCAAACCCGUCUGACCUCCAGAGGCUAUGAAAGGCUGGGCCUGAUUAGUACUUGGAUGGGCGACCUGCUGUGAGCUCUGGGGUGGCUAAGGU
rnacentral:rRNA from 1 species